CAAUAUUAGUCAAUGCUCGAAAGAGUGAACUAGCUAACUGAAAUCAAUAAUAAUAAUUGAUAACAUAAGGGAAAAUAAUGAUAUUACCUUAUUAUUAGUGUCGUCCAAAUCUGGUGCCAGAAGACUCGGUAAGGCCAGAGACACAAACGUUAAUCGUCUUAAUCAGGCGUAAAGGGUUUGUAGGCGGCUUUAAAAUUUACUUAAAUAUAAAAAUAAGUAAAGAAUAAAAGCUAGAAUCAAAUAGAGGAUAUAUGAAAUAAUGCUUAGAGUAGGUCUGAUAUCCUUAGAUACUAAGUAGAAUAUUAAAGGCGAAAGCUUUUUUCCAUUAAUGAUUGACGCUCAGAAACGAAGGUGAGGAUAGGAAAUAGGAUUAGAUACCCAGAAUACCCCUCUCUGUCAACGAUGAAUGGUAGUUAUUAGUAAAAUUUAUUAAUGGCAAUGUUAACACGAUAACCAUUCCGCCUUGUGAGUACAACUGCAAAGUUGAAAACAAAAAAAUUAGUCGGUUUCGGAGCAAACGAAGUGAAGCAUGUUAUUUAAUAA
rnacentral:rRNA from 1 species